GAUGAACGCUGGCGGCGUGCCUAAUACAUGCAAGUCGAGCGAACAGACGAGGAGCUUGCUCCCCUGACGUUAGCGGCGGACGGGUGAGUAACACGUGGAUAACCUACCUAUAAGACUGGGAUAACUUCGGGAAACCGGCGCUAAUACCGGAUAACAUGUUGAACCGCAUGGUUCAACAGUGAAAGACGGUCUUGCUGUCACUUAUAGAUGGAUCCGCGCCGCAUUAGCUAGUUGGUAAGGUAACGGCUUACCAAGGCAACGAUGCGUAGCCGACCUGAGAGAGUGAUCGGCCACACUGGAACUGAGACACGGUCCAGACUCCUACGGGAGGCAGCAGUAGGGAAUCUUCCGCAAUGGGCGAAAGCCUGACGGAGCAACGCCGCGUGGGUGAAGAAGGUCUUCGGAUCGUAAAACUCUGUUAUUGGGGAAGAACAAAUGUGUAAGUAACUAUGCACGUCUUGACGGUACCUAAUCAGAAAGCCACGGCUAACUACGUG
rnacentral:rRNA from 1 species